GAGUCUGUUAAGCCUAUACUUGACCUUACACACUCAAUUAUGCACCGGUCUGAAUGAAUAACAUGUGGUUUGCUGCGCCCAUGGGUUCGCCACCAUGCGCCCUAGGCCUCUUUUGCUGUUGUUCCUCUUGUUUCUGCCUAUGUUGCCCGC
rfam:Hepatitis E virus (mexican strain) structural proteins and a nonstructural polyprotein genes, complete cds.